GCCUCUAAGCAUCAGGUAACAUCAAAUCGUACCCCAAACCGACACAGGUGGUCAGGUAGAGAAUACCAAGGCGCUUGAGAGAACUCGGGUGAAGGAACUAGGCAAAAUGGUGCCGUAACUUCGGGAGAAGGCACGCUGACACGUAGGUGAAGUGAUUUACUCAUGGAGCUGAAGUCAGUCGAAGAUACCAGCUGGCUGCAACUGUUUAUUAAAAACACAGCACUGUGCAAACACGAAAGUGGACGUAUACGGUGUGACGCCUGCCCGGUGCCGGAAGGUUAAUUGAUGGGGUCAGCGCAAGCGAAGCUCCUGAUCGAAGCCCCGGUAAACGGCGGCCGUAACUAUAACGGUCCUAAGGUAGCGAAAUUCCUUGUCGGGUAAGUUCCGACCUGCACGAAUGGCGUAAUGAUGGCCAGGCUGUCUCCACCCGAGACUCAGUGAAAUUGAACUCGCUGUGAAGAUGCAGUGUACCCGCGGCAAGACGGAAAGACCCCGUGAACCUUUACUAUAGCUUGACACUGAACAUUGAGCCUUGAUGUGUAGGAUAGGUGGGAGGCUUUGAAGUGUGGACGCCAGUCUGCAUGGAGCCGACCUUGAAAUACCACCCUUUAAUGUUUGAUGUUCUAACGUGGACCCGUGAUCCGGGUUGCGGACAGUGUCUGGUGGGUAGUUUGACUGGGGCGGUCUCCUCCUAAAGAGUAACGGAGGAGCACGAAGGUUGGCUAAUCCUGGUCGGACAUCAGGAGGUUAGUGCAAUGGCAUAAGCCAGCUUGACUGCGAGCGUGACGGCGCGAGCAGGUGCGAAAGCAGGUCAUAGUGAUCCGGUGGUUCUGAAUGGAAGGGCCAUCGCUCAACGGAUAAAAGGUACUCCGGGGAUAACAGGCUGAUACCGCCCAAGAGUUCAUAUCGACGGCGGUGUUUGGCACCUCGAUGUCGGCUCAUCACAUCCUGGGGCUGAAGUAGGUCCCAAGGGUAUGGCUGUUCGCCAUUUAAAGUGGUACGCGAGCUGGGUUUAGAACGUCGUGAGACAGUUCGGUCCCUAUCUGCCGUGGGCGCUGGAGAACUGAGGGGGGCUGCUCCUAGUACGAGAGGACCGGAGUGGACGCAUCACUGGUGUUCGGGUUGUCAUGCCAAUGGCACUGCCCGGUAGCUAAAUGCGGAAGAGAUAAGUGCUGAAAGCAUCUAAGCACGAAACUUGCCCCGAGAUGAGUUCUCCCUGAGACUUUAGGUCUCCUGAAGGAACGUUGAAGACGACGACGUUGAUAGGCCGGGUGUGUAAGCGCAGCGAUGCGUUGAGCUAACCGGUACUAAUGAACCGUGAGGCUUAACCUUACA
rnacentral:rRNA from 1 species